AAGCUGCGAAGAUGGCGGAGUAAGGCGUGCCGCUGCAAACUGGCCUCUGGGCCGGGGGCGAGCAGCCCCCGGGAGGCCGAGUGCAUCUGUUGGACCGUGCGAGGUGAGCCGAGAAGGCCAGUGACGGUGGGACGAGCAGGCGCCGAGGAGGUGGCGUGGCCCAGACGGGCCGGGUACGGAAGCGCGCAGGAACCUGCGAGUUGCGGGCAGCCGGCCUCGGCCUCGGCUGGGCGGGGGUUCCAACCUCGGCGGCUCCAGGGCAGCCGUCACCCGCCUUCUGGGAGAAGAAAAAAAAUAUCGGCCAGAGGAGAGGAACUAACCGAACAUUCUUCCUCCCUACCUUAUAGAGGGGAGUGGUCAUCUACACUAAAGCAAAGUGUUAGGCGCGUCCGUGCGAAGAGACCACCAAACAGGCUUUGUGUUCCUUAUCACAGGAAGAAAAUUUUCCUUGACCUUUAGGUGCUUUUAUAUUCAUCUCAAAAACAAAAUUCUGAACUCAGGACUUGGCAAGUGUCUCUAUGUUGUCUCCUAGAGUGGGUAGUCCUGCUUCUUUUACCCAGUUACUUUCCCGUUUUUGAAAUGUGGCUAUCACUUCUCUACACAUUACCUCCAUGAUUUGGAAUGGAAAAGGCCACUUUUCUUUUUGUUCUGCCUCUCAAAUUCAACACAGAGGAGCUCCUAGGAUUCCAGUUAUCCUGCUAACAUCUCCAGGAAGAAAGAAGCAACUCACAUGGGUCUUUUGCUGUUUGCUUAAUUAUAAAGACAUCAUUUUGCAAGCAGAAGGCUGAGUUUCAUUUGAAACAGGUGCUUAGGUGGUGGUAUUUGUGAAUACUUUUCAUUCCAAGCAAGAAGACUAAAGAAGUAGCAAGUAUGAAUGACUUCAGGGUUUAAAAAAAAUGUCUUCCAGUUUCAGCCACUACCAUGAUAAGCACAGUUGAGACUGCAGCAGUAAAUUCCAAAUAUGUGUUUCUAAUUUGACGUGAAAGAUACUAAAAAUUUAUAUUUGUAUAUUUAAAUCCUGGCUCAUCCUGUGACAUAGAUUUACUGAAUAGGAACAAAGGCCCAAUUUUAAACAAAAACCUAGGCCGGGUGUGGUGGCUCACACCUGUAAUCCCAACACUUUGGGAGGCCAAGGCAGGCAAAUCACCUGAGGUUGGGAGUUUGAGACCAGCCUGACCAACAUGGAGAAACCCCAUCUCUACUAAAAAUAGAAAAUUAGCCAGGUGUGGUGGUAGAUACGUGUAAUCCCAG
rnacentral:lncRNA from 10 species